GAAUUCUAAUGAAUUGAGUAGAAUUCGGUACAAAUGAGAUUAUGCAAACAUGAGAGAGUUUUGAUUCUUGAGAAGAAGAUAAUUUGUUGAAUAUUUAUUGAUUUCUUUCAAAUGAGGCACAAGACCUUUAAAUACAACUCUCAGGGCUAAAAGAGUAAAUAACAUAAAAUAAACUAUUUAUUUAAAAUAAACUAUUAAACUAUACUUAAUUCCUGUCACAAUACCCUCCGCUUCAAACAUCCUUGUCCUCAAGGAUGAAAAUUUCCAAGUACCAUGCUUAGGAGGUAAAGACUUCCAUUUGAGUAGAACUAAAGAAACAUGAACGCUUCCCUUUCGAUCAUUUUCCUAUGUAGAAUAGCCACAACAAGAUCAACAUUAUCAGCCAACUUUCGAGAUCCAUACUUAUACUCUGGAA
rnacentral:lncRNA from 1 species